rnacentral:rRNA from 1 species
GAUGAAUGCUGGCGGCGUGCCUAAUACAUGCCAGUCGAGCGAACAGACGAGGAGCUUGCUCCUCUGACGUUAGCGGCGGACGGGUGAGUAACACGUGGAUAACCUACCUAUAAGACUGGGAUAACUUCGGGAAACCGGAGCUAAUACCGGAUAAUCUAUUGAACCGCAUGGUUCAAUAGUGAAAGACGGUUUUGCUGUCACUUAUAGAUGGAUCCGCGCCGCAUUAGCUAGUUGGUAAGGUAACGGCUUACCAAGGCAACGAUGCGUAGCCGACCUGAGAGGAUGAUCGGCCACACUGGAACUGAGACACGGUCCAGACUCCUACGGGAGGCAGCAGUAGGGAAUCUUCCGCAAUGGGCGAAAGCCUGACGGAGCAACGCCGCGUGAGUGAUGAAGGUCUUCGGAUCGUAAAACUCUGUUAUUAGGGAAGAACAAAUGUGUAAGUAACUAUGCACGUCUUGACGGUACCUAAACAGAAAGCCACGGCUAACUACGUG